UACAGAGGGGGCAAGCGUUGUUCGGAAUUACUGGGCGUAAAGGGCGCGUAGGCGGCCUGUUAAGUCGAACGUGAAAUCCCCGGGCUCAACCCGGGAACUGCGUCCGAUACUGGCAGGCUUGAAUCCGGGAGAGGGAUGCGGAAUUCCAGGUGUAGCGGUGAAAUGCGUAGAUAUCAGGAGGAACACCGGUGGCGAAGGCGGGUCUCUGGGCCGAUACUGACGCUGAGGAGCGAAAGCAUGGGUAGCGAACAGG
rnacentral:rRNA from 1 species